AAUUAUUUGUGCCUGAAUUUAAAAGGAUCAUUUUGAUAGAGUGAAUAAUGUAAGUAAAUUACCAAAUAAUUA
rnacentral:tRNA from 1 species